AGAGGGGUGGGAGAAGAACGUGCAGUUACAGCAAUCGUGCACUUGAAUGGAAGUUUACUCGUGUGAAUAGAAAGAUAUAUUUAAAAAUAUCGAUUGAACUCUUACCUGGUUUGCGUAACUUCUACCAAUAUUGAAGUCGUUUCUGAAUUAUCUGAAAAGAUUUAAUGGCUGUGUGAUAAGAAGUUUGCUUCCCAACCACAUGUUUCUGGGUUCACUCCCACUGAGUGGCACCUUGAGCAGAUGUUUUCUACUAUAUACUGAGGCUGACCAAAGCCUUGUGAAUGUAUUUGGUAGAUAGAAAGUAAAAGAAACCUGCCAUAUGUAUGUGUAUCUAUGUAUGUCUUUGUAUUUGUCCACUAUCACCACUUAGCAACAGGUGUUGGUUUGUUUACAUCCCUGUAACUUAGCAUUUUGGCAUGAGAGACCAAGAGAAUAAGUAUCAGACUUUAAAAUAAAAAAAUUUUAAGCAGUU